UCAGGACGAACGCUGGCGGCGUGCUUAACACAUGCAAGUCGAGCGAUGAAGCUCCUUCGGGAGUGAAUUAGCGGCGGACGGGUGAGUAACACGUGGGUAACCUGCCUCAUAGAGGGGAAUAGCCUUUCGAAAGGAAGAUUAAUACCGCAUAAGAUUGUAGUACCGCAUGGUACAGCAAUUAAAGGAGUAAUCCGCUAUGAGAUGGACCCGCGUCGCAUUAGCUAGUUGGUGAGGUAACGGCUCACCAAGGCGACGAUGCGUAGCCGACCUGAGAGGGUGAUCGGCCACAUUGGGACUGAGACACGGCCCAGACUCCUACGGGAGGCAGCAGUGGGGAAUAUUGCACAAUGGGGGAAACCCUGAUGCAGCAACGCCGCGUGAGUGAUGACGGCCUUCGGGUUGUAAAACUCUGUCUUUGGGGACGAUAAUGACGGUACCCAAGGAGGAAGCCACGGCUAACUACGUGCCAGCAGCCGCGGUAAUACGUAGGUGGCAAGCGUUGUCCGGAUUU
rnacentral:rRNA from 1 species